AAUAGUUAGUUUGAAAUAAUACUGGAUGGAGUAUUAUUUAUGUACUUUUUUCCAUUGUGUAACGUUCUUUUUUAUUUUUUACUGACUUUUUUCAACUUUUCUAAGAAAAGAUCUGUUUCUAAAGAUCAUAUUAUAAAAAAUAAUUUAUAGAAUAACUAUGAUUGGAAAGAAUGAAGAAAGGAAAUAAAGAUUCAAGAGAAGAUGCAUUUCUAGAACUCCUUUUAGUAGAAUUAAUAUAGGAUGCAAGAUUUGCAAUUUUUUCAAGGCAUUAUAAAGACCAAUUCACAUCAAAACAUCAAGAAAUAAACCAACAUCUUUUAUCCAUCUAAAUUACCCUGAAGACUCACUAGAAAAAGCUUAAAUGACUAUAGUGAUUGCAUGAGGAAGAGGUUCAAGUUGAUUCUAGCUGUGACGAGUAGAAGAAACGUGGAAUGAGGCGAAAAGAGGAACAGGAAGGCUUCAAUCGAGCUGGAACAGGCAGAACAAAAAGGAGAGUGAAAGAAAAGAACGGGGAGAAAGAAAAGUCAGGGAGCAAAAGUGUACGUGUGCAUGAAAGAACUCGAGAGGGAUGGCUCGGUUAUUUAUAGGAUUACAAUAACGUGACUUGAUAAAAUGCCAGGCGACACAGUCUUGCGCCGCGAGAAUAAUUGUGGGUGUACGCACGUGCACCACGCAACAUUAUGGCUUGAUGACUAUGCACACCCUACAGAACAAGAAUUCUACUAUGUUCUGUGUAAACAUUUUUAGAGACAGUUAGCUUAAGUUUAAGCAAUUCUGAAAAUUGUAGAGUAUUUAAAUUUUUUAAUUUUUUAGGUGUCUAGAUUUUUUAAUUUUAGUUGUAGGAUUUAAUAAAAUUUUUGAACAGAUUUCAGAAUCUUUAGUUUUUUAAUUUUGGCAUUAAUGAAAAUUUGGGAAAGAUUCUAAGAAUUUUAACUGUAUAAUUUUUUGUUUAAGAUUAAUAAAUUUUGUCGCAAAGAUUUUAGGAAUUUUAAUCUUAUAAUUUUGGAAUUAAUGAAAUCUUGAAUUUAUUGAAUUGCGUAAUUUAAGAAUAAAAGUAUAAAUUUGUAGAAUAUAUUUAAAAUUAGGAAUAAGGAACUCAUACAAAUUGUAAAUACCUUUGUACUAAGAAUUUUCUAGUAGCUUGUGCCCAAUUACUUUAAUAUCAUUUUCUAUAUCAGUACUUGAAAUUUGAUGACAUUACAGAUAUUUAAGUUAGUUCAUCACAGUCACAUAAAGAAUAUAAAUAAUUUGACACGCAUCACUUACCUUUUUACUAGAUUUGAAGACAUUGCACUUAAACGUGUUACUGCUUCCAUCACGGGCAAUGUAACUAAAAAUUUUCAAGUCGUGGCUAUCAUGAGAGACGUAGAAUAUCCUGUAACAAAUAUAAACAAUCACUAAAUCAAAUCACUAAAAGAACCUGCAGAUCUACAAACAAGUAUUUCCAAAUAGAAUAUAUAAAAAAUGAUUAUAAAAAGAUACUACACAGUAGAAACCGGUUAAUAUAAUUUUAUAAUUAUAAAACAUUUGUACAUAAUUAGAUUAAGGAUUGAUCAGAAGUUACGGUAAUUGGUGAACUAUAGCAAACUUGUUCUUGUACACAGAGUACGCAGGAUGUUCCCAUGAGAGGAGCGAACGAUUUAGCUUACCUAUAUAUGGGGUGGUGCAUCAGGUAUAUUUUAUUCUCGUCCAUCCACUGUUGCUGCUUCUUCUGUGAAAACAAAGGACAAGUAACGACUCAUUAAUCCCAUGAUUUGUAGGUUAAUCUCGGACGAAAGAAUUGAAGCUUAGAAUAGUGUGUCUCGAAUGUAAUAUGACACUUGAUUGAGAAAGAAAAGUUAGGUUAAGAAAGUAUACGUGACGCUCAUAAUAGACGGAGAGAAAUAAAGAUGUUUCUGUUUUAAAUUUGGAUCAUCACAUUGAUGAAAUAUGUACACAUGAAAACAUUGUUUUUUUUUUCACGUGAUGUUUCAUUUUAGAACAGAUUUACUCCCGCUGAAUGAUAAUGGACAACAAAAUGUAAAUAUAGUCAAGAGGUAUACAUAUAUUACAGACCAAUGCAACAAGCCAAAAAGCAUGGCGUAAUAAAUCAGACCCUGCUGUUUUGAGUAAUUCAUAUGUUAACGUUAAAAUAUUACGAUGCAAUCUUCUGUUUUUAGCGGCAAUUUUUAUUGCUUUAUUCAAUAUCUCUGUACAUAUUGUAUUUCGUUUAUCUGUUUCAGAUACAAGAUGAGAUUUCAUUCAACUGACAAAUUCUGCGAAAGAAUGUUUGACACCUAUUUUUUUAUAUUUGGUAUUCAAAGCUUGUAAUUUGAUAUUCUAAGCUCAGUACUCAGCAUUUGAUACUUAAUUUCUACAACUUAAUAUCUACAAUUUAUUUAAUUAUUUAACGCUUGGUAUUCAUUAACCAGAACUUAAUAUCGCUUAGAACAGUGUAUUUAACUCACAAUAUUUUACAUUCCUUUCUUAGUAUUCAUAUUUAAUAAUAUUCACUAUUAUGUUCUCAACACGUAUUUAAACUUUAUCUGCUAUCCUCGCAAAGUACAAUGCAUAUUACUAAAACCUUAUUAUGCUUUCCCCAAGAAAUCAAAUCUGUGCUAGACGAUCAUCCAUUAGAGCAGAGGUCCUCAACUUAGUGUACAAGUUCCCUGGGGGUAUCCGGGAAAGUUUUUGAGGGCACAUGCGAACCCUAAAGAACCCGAAAUGAUUGAAAACCGCUGCAUUCCAGAGUGGACAAAUUUGAAGAUAUGAACGACAGAUGACAUCGUCGCAUAUACACAUACAGAAGAAUAAGGGAAAAAAUAAGAAGCAGAAAGGGAAAAAUUAAAAACAGAGCUAAUAAUGCAGUUAUGACGGACACGCAAUAGCGAGCAAUCAAUCGGAUAACGAGCACGAGUACAAGGGCAAUUACCUUCUUC